GCCCAGACAUAAGUCUGGUCACUAAAGGUAGCUUCGGCUUCCGCAUUGGGAGGGGCCCGCGGCCCAUUAGCUUGUUGGUGGGGUCAAGGCCUACCAAGGCAACGAUGGGUAGCUGGUCUGAGAGGACGAUCAGCCACACUGGGACUGAGACACGGCCCAGACUCCUACGGGAGGCAGCAGUGGGGAAUCUUGCGCAAUGCGCGAAAGCGUGACGCAGCAACACCGCGUGAGGGAAGACGGCCUUAGGGUUGUAAACCUCUUUCAGAUGGGACGAAGGUUGUCCGGUUAAUAGCCGAGAUGAUUGACGGUACCGUCAGAAGAAGCUCCGGCUAACUACGUG
rnacentral:rRNA from 1 species